UACGUAGGAGGCGAGCGUUGUCCGGAUUUACUGGGCGUAAAGGGCGCGCAGGCGGCCUUGCAAGUAGCGUGUGAAAUCCACCUGCUCAACGGGUGGGGUGCAUGGUAGACUGCAGGGCUAGAGGACGGUAGAGGGGGGUGGAAUUGCUGGUGUAGCGGUGAAAUGCGUAGAGAUCAGCAGGAACACCCGUGGCGAAGGCGGCCCCCUGGGCCGUACCUGACGCUGAGGCGCGAAGGCUAGGGGAGCGAACGGG
rnacentral:rRNA from 2 species